CCUACGGGCGGCUGCAGUGGGGAAUAUUGGACAAUGGGGGGAACCCUGAUCCAGCCAUGCCGCGUGUGUGAAGAAGGCCCUCGGGUUGUAAAGCACUUUCAGUGAGGAAGAACGCCUGGUGGUUAAUACCCAUCGGGAAAGACAUCACUCACAGAAGAAGCACCGGCUAACUCCGUGCCAGCAGCCGCGGUAAUACGGAGGGUGCGAGCGUUAAUCGGAAUUACUGGGCGUAAAGCGCGCGUAGGUGGCUUGAUAAGCCGGUUGUGAAAGCCCCGGGCUCAACCUGGGAACGGCAUCCGGAACUGUCAAGCUAGAGUGCAGGAGAGGAAGGUAGAAUUCCCGGUGUAGCGGUGAAAUGCGUAGAGAUCGGGAGGAAUACCAGUGGCGAAGGCGGCCUUCUGGACUGACACUGACACUGAGGUGCGAAAGCGUGGGUAGCAAACAGGAUUAGAUACCCGAGUAGUC
rnacentral:rRNA from 1 species